rnacentral:rRNA from 1 species
AGUCGAACGGCAGCACGGACUUCGGUCACUGGUGGCGAGUGGCGAACGGGUGAGUAAUGUAUCGGAACGUGCCUAGCGGGGGAUAACUACGCGAAAGCGUAGCUAAUACCGCAUACGCCCUUCGGGGAAAGCAGGGGACCUUCGGGCCUCGCUUUGCUGUGGAAGCGGCCGAUAUCGGAUUAGCUAUUAGUUGGUGGGGUAACGGCUCGCAAGGCGACGAUCCGUAGCUGGUUUGAGGACGACCAGCCACACUGGGACUGAGACACGGCCCAGACUCCUACGGAGGAGCGGCAGUGGGGAAUUUUUGGACGGUUGUGGGGAAACCUGAUCCAGCCAUCCCGCGUGUGCGAUGAGGCCUUCGGGUUGUAAAGCACUUUUGGCAGGAAAGAAACGGCACGGGAUAAUGCCCGAUACGGCGACUGACACCUGCAGAAUAAGCGCGGCUAACUACGUGCCAGCAGCCGCGAGCAACCACGUAAGUGCAAGCGUUAAUCAGGAAUUACUGGGCGUAAAGCGUGCGCAGGCGGUUCGGAAAGAAAGAUGUGAAAUCCCAGAGCUUAACUUUGGAACUGCAUUUUAACUACCGAGCUAGAGUGUCAGAGGGAGGUGGGUUAAUCGUUCAGUGGAUGAUGUGGAUUAAUUCGAUACAGCGAAAAACCUUACUACCCUUGACAUGUCUGGAAUCGAAGAAGUUUGGGAGAUUGCUCGCAAGAGAACCGGAACACAGGUGCUGCAUGGCGUCGUAGAAACAAUUGUCGUGAGAUGUUGGGUUAAGUCCCGCAACGAGCGCAACCCUUGUCAUUAGUUGCUACGAAAGGGCACUCUAAUGAGACUGCCGGUGACAAACCGGAGGAAGGUGGGGAUGACGUCAAGUCCUCAUGGCCCUUAUGGGUAGGGCUUCACACGUCAUACAAUGGUCAGGACAGAGGGUCGCCAACCCGCGAGGGGGAGCCAAUCCCAGAAACGAUCGUAGUCGGAUCGCAGUCUGCAACUCGACUGCGUGAAGUCAGAAUCGCUAGUAAUCGCGGAUCAGCAUGUCGCGGUGAAUACGUUCCCGGGUCUUGUUUACACCGCCCGUCACACCAUGGGAGUGGGUUUUACCAAGUAAAUUUAGCCUAACCGUAAGGAGGGCGAUUACCACGGUAGGAUUCAUGACUGGGGUGAAGUCGUAACAAGGAGGUAG